ensembl:lncRNA
GCACAGACUGGAGUGUAUAAUGAUGGGUGUGAUACACUGGUCAUUCACAAGGGGCUGCUGUAUCCUCGCCAAACGCUCGCAGAAGCCCGCCAGCUCCAUUCUCCCGCAGGAUGGACCUCCCGCCUCGUCUUAAGAAAGAGCAGUGAGGAAGGAGACAGAAGCGGACGAAGCUUUAUAGGAGUUUAUUCUCCGGAGGCCGGAUUGCCUGUGUGGACCCCAGCUUGCCAAACAUAGGGGCGCGUGGACUGUUCCCUGCUCCUCCACACUUCUGGGAGGAGGUGCCUUCAAAAAACAUCCCCCUCGUCCAGCCUCCGGGCCCUGAUUUCCCCCUGGCUAGACAGCCCCAGCGCACCACUUGCCUUUUCUGUGUCAGUAUUCUGUCUCUUUACCGAAAGAAGAUGGACUCCUGUGUUGAUGUGCUGUUUCUGCUGCUAAAUUGUUUGCAAGAGGGAGGUGUUAAGGAGUGAAAGGAAGCCCCCAAUUUUUAGAGGCAACACCAUCGCAUCCUGACCCCAAACUGC